rnacentral:snoRNA from 1 species
AAGACUAUACUUUCAGGGAUCAUUUCUAUAGUGCUGUACUUGAGAAAUGUGUGUCUAAAGUGGAGAUCCGCUAUCCAUGAUGACGAUAAAAAGAUAUUCCCGUUCAGAGCAUGAAUCUGGUGGUUAGAUGACUUUGCUCAUUUUUCUUCCACCUUUGAUGACUGUUCCUUGUUCUUCAAUGAAGUGGAUGAAGGGAAUAUGUUCUGAGUGGA